GACGAACGCUGGCGGCGUGCUUAACACAUGCAAGUCGAACGGAAAGGCCUGCUUUCCCUUGUGGAUUGCGGGUACUCGAGUGGCGAACGGGUGAGUAACACGUGAGUGAUCUGCCCCCAACUUGGGUAUAAGCCUGGGAAACUGGGUCUAAUUCCCGAUAGGACUGCAGGGUGGUGCCCGUGGUGGAAAACGAUUUUCUAGUGGUUGGGGAUGAGCUCGCGGCCUAUCAGCUUGUUGGUGGGGUAAUGGCCUACCAAGGCGGCGACGGGUAGCCGGCCUGAGAGGGUGGACGGCCACAUUGGGACUGAGAUACGGCCCAGACGCCUACGGGAGGCAGCAGUGGGGAAUAUUGCACAAUGGGCGGAAGCCUGAUGCAGCGACGCCGCGUGGGGGAUGACGGCCUUCGGGUUGUAAACUCCUUUCGACCGCGAGGAAGCCACCUGGUUGGAAGGGUGGUGACGGUAGUGGUAGAAGAAGCACCGGCUAACUACGUG
rnacentral:rRNA from 1 species